rnacentral:lncRNA from 1 species
CGCAGGCGACCGAGCGCUGAACUGAGGAAAGGUACUGUUGUCGCCGAGAGAAUCCCGACCCGGCUGCACGCGCGUGGCCAUGUGGAGGCUACUGACGCGCGCGCCCGCGCCGCUCUGGCGGAUGCACUUUUCAGAUACUUGGGCAGCCCUUCCCACCAGUGCUGGUCUGAAGACGCUCCUCCCAGUUCCAACUUUUGAAAGUAAGUACUUAUCAUUUCCACUUUUUUUCCCUCUGAUAAAAGACAUCGUAGGUGUGCUUGUGCUUCCUCCCUCCUGAGUGAUUCAACAGAUAUAUGUAAGGAAGGAGAACUGUGCUGCCAAGCAGUGUUCUGAUAAGCAUUAGAGGCAACGAAGUCCCUCGCUGUUGCAAAGCAAGUAACUAUUGGGCUAGUUCCCAGGCGUCCUACCACUGAUCUGUGUGGCCCAUGAUCUACCCAGUCCGCACUAACUGGGCAUUUAUUAGAUUUUUUAUCUUCGCUCAAUAAUAGUUCAUAUAUGCAGACAGUUAGCAAUAGUAACCAGGUGCACUGCAGUCCUGUAAAUCUAACUUUACUCUUUAAUACACUAAAAACUCCCAAAAUGCAAAUGACCUGGACAUCUGAGGGUCUUGU